rnacentral:rRNA from 1 species
GAUGAACGCUGGCGGCGUGCCUAACACAUGCAAGUCGAACGAAAGCACGAGAAGCUUUCUUCCCCGAUGUUAGCGGGGGACGGGAGAGUAACACGUGGAUAACCUACCUAUAAGACUGGGGUAACUUCACGAAACCGUAGCUAAUACCCGAUAAUAUUUUGAACCGCAUGGUUCAAAAGUUAAAGACGGUCUUGCUGUCACUUAUAGAUGGAUCCGCGCUGCAUUAGCUAGUUGGUAAGGUAACGGCUUAGCAAGGCAACGAUGCAUAGCCGACCUGAGAGGGUGAUCGGCCACACUGGAACUGAGACACGGUCCAGACUCCUACGGGAGGCAGCAGUAGGGAAUCUUCCGCAAUGGGCGAAAGCCUGACGGAGCAACGCCGCGUGAAUGAUGAAGGUCUUCGGAUCGUAAAGCUCUGUUAUUAGGGAAGAACAUAUGUGUAAGUAACUGUGCACAUCUUGACGGUACCUAAACAAAAAGCCACGGCUAACUACGUG